GUGGUACUUUUGCAGCUUUGGUGGGCUCCGGCUUCCUUCACUCCAGCCCACCGCGUCCGAGAGACUUAGCAGGGCGUCAAACUGGAGAGCGGAAGGAUGGAACCUUUUAUUCUCAGGUGGAGAGGAUUAAGCUUUGCGGUGUUAGCAGAAAAUGAUCGAGCUCCAGAAAAUGAUUUGGAGUCUGCAGGUGUACCCAGCAGCUCCGAAGAGACAGCGACCAUCGAGAACAAGCCAUGAUGAUGAUGGUGGUUUGUCGAAAAGGAAAUGGGGAAAUGUGGGGAAAAGAGAGAUCAGACUGUUACUGUGUCUGUGUAGAAAGAAGUAGACAUAAGAGACUCCAUUUUGUUCUGUACUAAGAAAAAUUAUUCUGCCUUGAGAUGCUGUUAAUCUGUAACCCUACCCCCAACCCUGUGCUCCCUGAAACACGUGCUGUGUCAACUCAGGGUUAAAUGGAUUAAGGGCUGUGCAGGAUGUGCUUUGUUAAACAAAUGCUUGAAGGCAGCAUGCUUGUUAAGAGUCAUCAUCACUCCCUAAUCUCAAGUACCCAGAGACAAUACGCUGCGGAAGGCCGCAGGGACCUCUGCCUAGGAAAGCCAGGUAUUGUCCAAGGUUUCUCCCCAUGUGAUAGUCUGAAAUAUGCUGGCCGGGAAAGACCUGACCGUCCCCCAGCCCAACACCCGUAAAGGGUCUGUGCUGAGGAGGAUUAGUAAAAGAGGAAGGAAGGCCUCUUUGCAGUUGAGAUAAGAGGAAGGCAUCUGUCUCCUGCUCGUCCCUGGGCAAUGGGAUGUCUCGGUGUAAAACCCGAUUGUAUGUUCCAUCUACUGAGAUGGGGAAAACCGCCUUAGGGCUGGAUGUGGGACAUGCUGGCAGCAAUACUGCUCUUUAAGGCAUUGAGAUGUUUAUGUGUAUGCACAUCAAAAGCACAGCACUUUUUUCUUUACCUUGUUUAUGAUGCGGAGACGUUUGUUCACAUGUUUUCCUGCUGACCUUCUCUCCACUAUUACCCUAUUGUCCUGCCACAUCCCCCUCUCCGAGAAACGCCCAAUAAUGAUCAAUAAAUACUGAGGGAACUCAGA
rnacentral:lncRNA from 1 species